GACGAACGCUGGCGGCGUGCUUAACACAUGCAAGUCGAACGGAAAGGCCCUGCUUUUGUUGGGUGCUCGAGUGGCGAACGGGUGAGUAACACGUGAGUAACCUGCCCUUGACUUUGUGAUAACUUCAGGAAACUGGGGCUAAUACCGGAUAGGAGCUCCUGCUGCAUGGUGGGGGUUGGAAAGUUUCGGCGGUUGGGGAUGGACUCGCGGCUUAUCAGCUUGUUGGUGGGGUAGUGGCGUACCAAGGCUUUGACGGGUAGCCGGCCUGAGAGGGUGACCGGCGACAUUGGGACUGAGAUACGGCCCAGACUCCUACGGGAGGCAGCAGUGGGGAAUAUUGCACAAUGGGCGGAAGCCUGAUGCAGCAACGCCGCGUGCGGGAUGACGGCCUUCGGGUUGUAAACCGCUUUCGCCUGUGACGAAGCGUGAGUGACGGUAAUGGGUAAAGAAGCACCGGCUAACUACGUG
rnacentral:rRNA from 1 species